rnacentral:rRNA from 1 species
CCUACGGGAGGCAGCAGUGAGGAAUAUUGGUCAAUGGGCGAGAGCCUGAACCAGCCAAGUCGCGUGAGGGAGUACUGCCCUAUGGGUUGUAAACCUCUUUUGUCGGGGAGCAAAAGCCGGACGUGUCCGGCUGUGAGAGUACCCGAAGAAAAAGCAUCGGCUAACUCCGUGCCGGCAGCCGCGGUAAUACGGGGGAUGCGAGCGUUAUCCGGAGUUAGUGGGGUGAAAGGGUGCGCAGGCGGAUUUUUAAGUCAGCGGUCACAUCGUGGGGCUAAACCCCAUCCAGCCGUUGAAACGGGAGAUCUAGAGUGUGCGAGAGGUAUGUGGAAUGCGUGGUGUAGCGGUGAAAUGCAGAGAGAGCACGCAGAACCCCGAUUGCGAAGGCAGCAUACCGGUGCACAACUGACGCUCAGGCACGAAAGCGUGGGUAUCGAACAGGAUUAGAUACCCCGGUAGUC